GGAAAUAAGUUUGUUUAUUGCCAAUCAAAUCAGAGUAGGAUAAUGAGAAAAAAACAAAUCUUGAAACACCUUUCUCUCACCCCUCCCUCCUUCCUAGGCUUAAUUUCACUCACGAUUUCUCUACUUCCUCACCCCAGAGUGGCUCAGGGGGACGGGGAAUGUGGGUUUUGGUCAGCUCAUCACACGUCUCUGCCAGUCCUUCCUCCUCAGCGGAGGACACCUCACACUCUUCCCCUCCUCCAGCUUGGGGUUUCUCCCACAGGUGAGAGCCGCUCCCACUGGCUGCAAUUCUUCACACACUGCUGCAGCGUGGGCCUCUUCCACAGGGUGCAGUCCUUCAGGACCAGACUGCUCCAGCGUGGGCCUCCUGUGAGGUCACCAGUCCUGCAGCAAACCUGCUCCAGUGUGGGCUCCUCUCUCCACGGGGUCACAGGUCCUGCCAAGAGCCUGCCCCAGCGCAGGCUUCCCAUGGCGUCACUACUUCCUUCAGGCAUUGCCCUGCUUCUGUGUGGGGUCUUUUACGGGCUGCAGGUGGAGAUCUGCUCCACCAUGGACCUCCAUGGGCUGCAGGGGGACAUGGAGUCUGCAGAGCUGUUACUCUCAUAUAUUGUCACUCCUGCUGCAAUUGCUUUUGUGCAGGUUUCUUUUUCCCCUUAAAUAUGUUAUCCCAGAGGCACUACCAGUGGUGGUGUUGGGCUCAGCCUUGGCCAGCAGCAGGUCCAUCUUGGAGCCAGCUGGCAUUGGCUCUGUCAGACACAAAGGAAGCUCCUAUCAACCCUUUAGUUCCCCUUGCUACCAAAACCUUGCCAUGCAAACUCAAUACAGUAUUGGUAAAAUUUUGAUACAUCAGAAAAGACGACGAACAGGCAACAAGACUGUGUAGUAACUGUCCUGCAUAUAUUUCACUGAAUUUGAGAACCUUCAUCGAAGAAUAUGGAGGUAAGGACAUGGCCUCCAUUUGUGCCAUACUGAUGCUGACUAAUCCUGUUAUCUUUGGGGAAAUCAGAUCUCACAAAGCAUACUGGUUUCAGAAACCUUAGGCCUUCUGCAAUAAAUAAUAUUGGAAAUCUAUUUUUACUUUCCACAUGGAUGAGUCUGUUCUUAGGCUAUUUCUGAUUGUGUAAGACACAAAUAAGAUUUUUCUUUAAUUUGAAGCAUGACUGCCUUUUGCAAUGAUCUUUUCCUUAAAAAAAAAAAAGAACAAAUUAAUUGUGGUUAUGACAGACACAACACACAUACAUUCUGGCUCUUAAGGAGAUAAAAUAUCUGAAACCUCUCUCUCCUGCUCUUUACUCUUCUAUUUAUAAAGACAGCAAGUAGCUACUGGCUCCCAAAGCUGAAGUGUAAAAGCAGUGUGAAUUCCCUUGGUUUUAAUGGCAACUGUACAUACAAUUUCAUACUUUGCUUCAGCAGUUUUUUCAUUAAUAUCCAAGGACCUGGAUGUUACACUUUAUAGUAAUUAUUUUUGAUGUUUUUAAACCUCCUCAUCUAGCUAUUUUUUUGGACCAGUCCUGCUUCUUUACGGAAGACAGCACAUUCGUUUUUAGCCCAUCAGACUAAAUCAUGUUAAAGGAACUUCUGCACUUCAGGGUGUUCAAUCAUGGUAAGAUCAAACUAAGAAUCAAACAUCUGGUGGUAGACAAGACAUACAUUCUGGGCUUUCUCAAGCCUGAAUAUUUUUAUAAAGCUGAGGUGAUACAUGGUAAUUGGAAUUAUUAGGAAACAAUUGAUUAAGAAGCAGUAGUUUAAAUGCGUGCAAAAUCUAAAUACUCAUUAACAGUGUUGAAGGAGACAUGCAAAAAGGCAGAAACAAGACAUAUUUAUUCCAUAGCAGAAUAAUCUUCAGCAGUCUGCAAAAGUAGCAUUAGUCCCCUUCAUGAUUCUUCAAAACAGAAGUAGCCUAUUGCACUUUGAUAGUAAGCUCUCGCUCGCAUUCUUUCUAAAAAAAGGUCUUGUGUAGCAGCAGAUAUUUGACCGCCAAUUCACAUUUAAAACUAGCAUCUGUAUAACUAAGAGCAGAUGUCACUACAGGCAAGUAGUCUGUAAUAACAGAUUUCAGCACUCUGUGGACUGGGCACAGAGGGCAUGCAUGACAAAUACCUGAGCAGUCACUCACUUUAGAAGCCUGAUGUGAUAAGACAGUGGAAACCUGCAGCUGCUCUGCUACAGCAGGAAUACUUUGAACAUGCUUGCUCUGUCUAUAAUAGUGAUCCAUUAUACAAUACUAGUAUUGACAGUUGAUACAUUAUGAAUGAGCAACCUGCUUAAAUUCUCUCUCUUCCACAUGUUCCAAUAUACGCAUUUUAGAGGACUACUUGAAAUCCUAUUUUAUGGGCACAACUUCUAACAAAGGUAAAAUAAGCCUGUUAAUUAAAUACAACUUUCUCAACUAAUGCUACUAG
ensembl:lncRNA